rnacentral:misc_RNA from 1 species
GUUUGCUUUGGAUUUUGUGUAUUAUUUGACAGAUGAAUGAGAACUUUGUAUUUAGUAAAGCUCCCUGCUUAUUAUCUCAACCAUAUGGGUACUGAUAAAUAUGUAAACUUGGUUUAUGUUAUCAAAUGGAGAAAAAGAAGGAUAACUAAAAUUUAUUGUAUGACUAUCUAUACCAGUACUUGAGCUCAGAUAUGCAGGAUGACAGGGCCUUUCGUGCUUGAAGGUUAUCGGAGUCCAUAUGAAGGGCAUCUUUGUAUAACCUUUGAGCCUGCUGCAAUAACUUCACCUUCUCUCUACUUGUUCUAGGUCGUAGGCGAGAUCUGUGCUGCAAUGCUGUGGCCCAUCUGAAAAGAGCAUCAGGUGCAUAUACAUUUCCUCUGGAGAUCAUUGCAUCGAACUUAUCAAUUGCAGCCAAGAAAACUUUGUCGGCAUCACGUGCAGAACCAGGUCCAAUGUCUGCAAUCAACUGCCCACGCAACGAGAGAGCAAUUCCCCAAUUAUACAAAGCUCUCAUAUCAUUCCCAUCUAUCGACAAGGCUAACCUAUACUGUCUUCCUGCCUUAAUAAGUAGUUCUUCACACUCUUCACAUACAUUUACAAGAUAAGAUGUAAUUUUGUCUUCCCUUGGAACCGUAUCAUCU